UACGUAGGGGGCUAGCGUUGUCCGGAUUUAUUGGGCGUAAAGAGCGUGUAGGCGGUUUGGUAGGUCCGCUGUGAAAACUCGAGGCUCAACCUCGAGACGCCGGUGGAAACCAUCAGACUAGAGUCCGGAAGAGGAGAGUGGAAUUCCUGGUGUAGCGGUGAAAUGCGCAGAUAUCAGGAAGAACACCCGUGGCUAAGGCGGCUCACUGGCCCGAUACUGACGCUGAGGCACGAAAGCGUGGGGAGCAAACAGG
rnacentral:rRNA from 1 species